GGAGGAUGUGCUGAAAGAAGACAGACAGGGCUGUAAAAAAGAACGAGUUGAACUGGUCACAGUUGCAUUGACCCCAUUAGUCCCAAAGGCAUUCAGGUCUGCCUUAUUCUUCUGUGAGUCCUCCUACAUAUCUUCUCU